rnacentral:rRNA from 1 species
GAGGAAUGUAUAGCAAUAGCUACUUGCAUCAUUGUACAGAUGAUGCAAGAUCGACUAUGUUGAAUAAAAUUCUAGGUAGAAUUAUGAUAAUGACAUUGUCUGCCUAUGUGUCUUGACCAAAUUACGUGCCAGCAGUCGCGGUAAUACGUAGAAGACUAGUGUUAUUCAUGUUUAAUCGGUUUAAAGGGUACCUAGACGGUAGAUCAAGCUUUCAGAAAAGACCUUAGAUCAAAAGGAUGAAGAACAAUUAUAGAAAGGACUAAUUUACUAGAGUUACUUACGAGGGGGUAUUAAAGUACUGCUGGUGUAGAGAUGAAAUUCUGUCAUACCUCUUUUCGAAAGAAAAAUCAUGGCACAGGUAUAGGCGAAGGCAUCCCCUUAUGUGAUAACUGACGUUGAGGGACGAAGGCUUCGUGUAACAAACAGGAUUAGAUACCCUAGUAGUUGGAGCAGAAAAUGAUGAAUGUCAUAGAUUAGAUAUAUAAGUUUAUUCUAUAAAUGAAAGUGUAAGCAUUCCACCUCAAGAGUAAUUUGGCAACAUUGGAACUGAAAUCAUUAGACCGUUUCUGAAACCAGUAGUGAAGUAUGUUGUUUAAUUUGAUGACCCGCAAAAAACCUUACCACAAUUUGAAUACUUAUAUUUUUUUUAUUGUUUUCUUCUUAAUUUUCUUCUAAUAACAUGUAUAAAUUACAAGAUAAAAGAAAUUAUUAAUAAAGAGGCAAUAAUAUAUAUUUACAAGCGUUGCACGGCUGUCUUCAGUUAAUGUCGCGAGACUAUGGUUAGUUCCAUUAAAUUAACGUAAACCCUUACUUUAUUUUUAGAUAGAGUAGUUCCCCGCUAUAUUGGAUAUGAU